AUUGAACGCUGGCGGCAUGCCUUACACAUGCAAGUCGAACGGUAACGGGUCUUCGGAUGCUGACGAGUGGCGAACGGGUGAGUAAUACAUCGGAACGUGCCUAGUAGUGGGGGAUAACUACUCGAAAGAGUGGCUAAUACCGCAUGAGAUCUACGGAUGAAAGCAGGGGAUCGCAAGACCUUGUGCUACUAGAGCGGCCGAUGGCAGAUUAGGUAGUUGGUGGGAUAAAAGCUUACCAAGCCGACGAUCUGUAGCUGGUCUGAGAGGACGAUCAGCCACACUGGGACUGAGACACGGCCCAGACUCCUACGGGAGGCAGCAGUGGGGAAUUUUGGACAAUGGGCGAAAGCCUGAUUCAGCAAUGCCGCGUGCAGGAUGAAGGCCUUCGGGUUGUAAACUGCUUUUGUACGGAACGAAAAGCCCCGGGUUAAUACCCUGGGGUCAUGACGGUACCGUAAGAAUAAGCACCGGCUAACUACGUGCCAGCCGCCGCAGUAA
rnacentral:rRNA from 1 species